GAUGAACGCUGGCGGCGUGCCUAAUACAUGCAAGUAGAACGCUGAAGGAAGGCUCUUGCUCUUUCCUGAUGAGUUGCGCACGUGUGAGUAACGCGUAGGUAACCUGCCUGGUAGCGGGGUAUAACUAUUGGAAACGAUAUCUAAUACCGCAUAACAGUCUAUUUUGCAUGAUAUCUUCUUAAAAUUUGCAAUUUCACCACUACCAGAUGGACCUUCGUUGUAUUAGCUAGUUGGUGAGGUAACGGCUCACCAAGGCGACGAUACAUAGCCGACCUGAGAGGAUGGUCAGCCAGACUGGGAGUGAGACACGGCACAGACUGAUACGGGAGGGAGCAGUAGGGAAUCUUGGGGAAGGGGCGGAAGUCAGAGCGAGAAACGCCGAGGGAGGGAAGAAGGUUGUCGGAUCGGAAAGCUCGGUUGUAAGAGAAGAACGAGUGUGAGAGUGGAAAGUUCACACUGUGACGGUAACUUACAAGAAAGGGACGGCUAACUACGUG
rnacentral:rRNA from 1 species